rnacentral:lncRNA from 1 species
UACAACCCAAAAUCAAACCAAAUUAACCCCAAUGUUUCAAGACCCAAAUUACAAAUCCAUUUACAAAAUGACAUAGCCCAAUACCCCAAACGGCCCAGAAACUGAGCCCCAUUUUGGCAAACCCUAGGGCAAGGGUCUCCUUGUGCCGCAGCCCUCACUAGCAGCCAAACCACAUUGCGCCAGACAACGCCUCCAACAGCACCAGCGCACAGCCCUCGUACGCCACGCCCGUACCUCCGUACGAUGCCAGCAGACUCCGUACCUGCGAAAAAGACACACAGAACAGCAGCGAAUAGGGAAGAAGAAAAUAGCAUUUUCAUUUUUUGAUUUUUCUUUCUUUUCGGCUAUAAAGGCCAUGUAAUAGCCUAGGUGAGUUUUUUACGCAACAUAAACGCACAAUAGGCCAUACAGACACAAUCAAUACAUUUUGAAAUACAAAAAAGCAACGAGCAUUCGAAGGUGAUUCCGAUUCAUAAUUUCUGAGAUUUUUUCCUUUUCUUCUUGGCUUAGUUUCAUUCUCCCUGGAAUUUCUUUUUGUUCUUUCGCAUUUUGGGUUGUAUAAAAGAGAGAGGAAAUGAAAUCUUACCCCGUGAAUACGCCGUGAGAUAUCCUCUGAUUCGUUGAAAUCGGGGUCCGAGAGGAGUAUAAGGCGGAAAGAAAACCAUCUUGAGGCUCGAACAGGCCGAUCUCCAUUCAUUGCGGUGGAUUGGCAUGGCAGAUGGAGGGUCAAGGUUCGUUUGAGGGGAGUAAAAAUGGAGGCUAGGGUUUGGAGGUGCUGGCUUAAUCUGCUGAUUGAGCCAUUUUAUAGGACCUCAAACUGUGUCGCAUUGACAUCAAAGCCCGACCCGAUUCGAUUCCAAACCCGAUGACCCGCGUGUUUUUGCGGUGAGGGACUAUUUGCACAUUAAAUCCCUCCCUUUUGCGCCACGUUUAAAUCAAUCCAUAUUUUUAUUCCAUUUCUUUUAAUUUAGGCUUGUAUUUUGAGCUCAUUUGCAAUGGGGUCCGCACAUGUACACAGCGUUUUGGGAGUCUGGAAUAAUUUCAGUUUUGAUCCUUGCAUAUUCGUAUACAUUAUGCGCUGGCCCUUAUCUGUAUUUACAAAUUAUCCUUCCAUUUUAACGUGGUUUCAAUUAGACCCUCUCUUUUAUGUGAUUUCAAUUAUUUUUUUUAGAUUCACCUCAUGUUUUAUUUUAUUUUACUUGUGUUCAUUUACUCGUGUUCAUCGUCUAACUUGCAUCAUUUACUUAUUGUAAUUUGGGUAACUAUGCUUUCAUAUUUUGCGUAUUACCUCAUGUAAUUGUUUUCUUUAUAUACGCUAUUGUACAUAUAUAUUUGUACUUUACAUUAAAGUCAAUUUCAUUUCAUAUAUAUAUACAUUGUUAACCUUAUGUUAUUUUAUACAUGUGUUGUCUUAAAUUUAUUAUUGUAGUUUAUUACAUGGUCCUAUAUAAUAUAUUUUCUCAAUUAUUAUUAUAUACAUAUAUGUUUAUAGAUAUCUAUACUUGAUAUCUAUAUAUAUAUUAUUAAAUCUAUGUAUUUUAUGCAUGUAGUUUUUCUCUUUUUUCAUAUAUGUAAGUAUAUUCUUCAAUUCAUUAUAUAAUUUAUAAUAAAAUCAGUUUUAGCUUGCAUAUAUUUCUAUGUUUUUUACAAAUAAUUAUUUUUUAAAAAAAGGGGGGUUAUUUAUAUAUAUAUAAUUUGUAGAUCCAUUGCAUUUUUGAAGAUUAUAUCGUACUAUAUAUUUUUAUUAUUACCGUUUUUAAUAUAUUUUACACAUACUUUAAAUUAUUAUUCUAUACAUCCUCGUUUUUUUUUUAAAAAUCAAUAUUAUUCUACGUUUUGGUAUGAUUUUCGAUUUAAACAUUCAUUUUAUAAUAUUUUUUAAAAUGAUUAAGCGUAUAUCCCUAGUUUUUCCUUUUUUACAAAUAAAUUUUAAAUGCACCAAUUCAUUAAUUUGCAUGUCAUAAAGAUUUUUGGUUCAUUAGAUCGCAUUUGUUCCGACAUCGUCUUAUACCACUUUGACUUCUAAAUUCUAUUUUGUUUUGCAUACGCUCUUUUGGUUGCUUUAUAUAUGUACAUUCCUUGCGUGGCAUCCACCUUAUUGAACUGUUAAUUACUCAUCAUAUAUGAUUGAAAUUAGGCUAUAAUUCCUAGAUUAAUUAUAUUUAAUUGCUUGUUCUGCUAGUUGAUUCAUUAAGUAUUGUAUCUCGUAUGUGUAUAUUACCUCAUUCAUCGUUUUCCAUUUGAUUUUCGAAAUGCGGUUUUAUAAAAUCCAAAUUUUAUGAUUAAUCUCGUACUAUUUCAAAUUGAAUUAAUACGUCUUAAGCUAGCUCUAUAAUCAUUCAUUCAAAAAUUCUUUAAAAACGAAGGCAAGAUUCGAUGUUUGGCAAUUCGUGGAAUCGUGCCCUAACGUGUUGGGUUGCGAUUUCGCGUUUGCUCAAAAUAAUCGAAUAUCACUUCGAAAUUUCACUCACGCCUUUUAAAAUUCCUCAAAACGAAGACGAGGUUUGAUAUUUAGCAAUUCGCAGAAUCGUGCCCUAACGUGUUGGGUUGCAAUUUUGCGUUUGUUCAAAAUAAUCGGGCUUCCCUUCAAAAUUCCAUUCAUAUCUCCUAAAAUUUUUUAAAUGAAGGCAAUGUUCGACGUUUGAUAAUUUGAGAAUCAUGCUCUAUCGCGUUGGGUUGUGGUUCCUGGUUUGCUCAAAAUGAUCGAACAUUCCUUUACAUUCUCACUCAUGUUUAUAAAAAAAAUACUUAAAAACGAAAACGAUGUUCAAUGUUUGGCGAUUUGAGAAUCGUGCCCUAUCGUGCUGGGUUGCGCUUUUUCAUUGGUCUGAAACAAUUGAAGAUCCCUUCAGAAUUUCCCUCGCACUUUCUAAAAUCUUUUAAAAUAAAGGCGAUGUUCGAUGUUUGGCGAUUUGAGAAUCGAGCCCUAUCAUGCUGGGUUGCGCUUUCUCAUUUGCCCAAAAUAAUCGAAUAUCUCCUCGAAAUUUUCACACGUAUUUUAUAAAGUAAGGCAAUGGUCAAUAUUUAGAAAUUCGAAGAAUCGUACCCUACUGUGCUGGGUUUCGAUUUUUCGUUGGACUAAAUAGUUGAGCAUCAUUCUGUAAUUCUCAAAUUAUAUACCUUCGGGCAUCGAAACAAGAAAUUUUGGCAACCAAGUCGGAUCACUCAAACGUUAUAAAAGGAACCACAUUUCAAAAAACUUUUAAUUUUAGACAUAAGGACAGUAUUUAAUUGACUUGGUACCAAUUUUGGGCGUAGUGAGGGUGCUAAUCCUUCCUCAUGCGUAACCGACUCCCGAACCUGUUUUCUCAAAAGUUCGUAGACCAAAAUUAUUGUUUUAAUAAACCAAAAAUGUUUAUUUAAACUAACCUCAUUUUUAGGUGAUUCGAUCACACCAAAAUAAAAGAUCGGUGGCGACUCCAUAUUUUCAUUUUCCAAAAAGUCGAUUCCACCAUUUUUCAUUAAAAUAAUUUUUUUUUAAAAUCGUGGGAUGGUUUCGACAGCUUGGCGACUCCGGUGGGGAUUUGAACUUGAGAGUCGAGCCAUAAAAAUCGAUUAUUUACUGUCCUUUUGUUAAAAAACCGAAAAUUUAUUUUAAAAAUCAUGUAUAUUUCGAUUGCAUUUGAUUGUAUGUUUGUGCGGGCCUUGUAGAAUAGCACUGCAUUUCAUUGCAUGACCACUGUGGUUACACCUUCUAAGUGGAAGUAAGAAGCUACGCUUUCGUGAGGUUUUCACCUCCGCAUGGGCUAGUGGAUUGCUUCCGGGGUACAUCCGUACCUAUGAUUUCGUGAGAUUUUCAUCUCUGCAUGGUCAUAGGGAAAUGUAUCCCCUCGAACCGAACUCGAUCUAUAUGAGCUUAUAAUGGGUGAGGAUUGAGGAAUCUGCUGGUUCGGGUACCCAUUUUCCUAGAACUAAACCACAUAUAGUGAACCUUAGGAGCUAUCCUUGGGUGGAGCCGCGUCGAACCUUAGUACUUACCCGUACAUGCGUUAUAAUCACCGUUUAUGUGCUUGCAUUCUAUUGCUAUUAUUUGAUACUAACCGAUGUUUUGUUUUGAUUGUCUUUUUUGCAUGACAUUGCAUAUUAAAGGAGGCGUUAAUCUACAUUCAAUUACUAAGUUAGAAAAUUUGACAUGGAGAAUGAAUUUUUUAGUAAAGUCGAGGAUAAUGCGGCCGUUCGUGCUUGGUCGGAGAGGCUACAAUCUGAGAGAGGGGAUAGCUUGGCAGAAGGGUAUGUGUCGGAGCUGUAGGAUUUCACUCGCGUCAAUGUAGUACAGAAUAAGCUGCAAUAGUUGAGAGACAUUUGGGUUAGUUGGGAUGAAAGGAUCAAGCAGUUGUUUUACCAAAGUUAUGGUGACAUAUCCUACCUGCUAGACAUUAAAGUGGAUAAGCAUUUGUUCCGAGCCUUGGUGCAGUUUUGGAAUUCCGCAUAUAAGUGUUUUACCUUUGGAGAAGUGGAUUUGGUACCUACCAUGGAGGAAUAUACUACGCUGCUUAGAUGUCCAAAGAUUCAGGUCUGGAAGACUUAUGCCCGGGUUUUUAGUAAUCAGGCUUUCGUGAAGAAACUGAUGAGCAUUUCUGGGAUGAGCGAGUCUUGGGUCACUGCUCGGAUUCAGCAGAAAGGAGAUAGCAAAUGUGUCCCUUGGGAGAAUUUGCGAGAUUUGAUCUUGACUCAUCUAGACGAAAGAAAGAGGGUCGAUAUAUUUGCCUUAAGCAUCUACGGAUUAGUGAUCUUUCCUACGGCUUUGAGGCACGUGGACGAGGCGGUCAUUGACUUGUUUGAUCGUCUUGAAAAGGGAAUCACACCGGUACCGGCAAUAUUGGCAGAAACGUUCAGAUCUUUGAGCUUAUGUCAGAAGACGGGUGAGGGGCGAUUUAUUGGAUGUGCUCAACUAUUGAUGGUAUGGUUUCAUGGGAACUUUUGGAAGGUAGACAAGGUUUCCUAUCGAGUCUUUUCCAAAGGUUAUUCCCCUUUGAAAGAAGAGGUAGCUAUACAGAGGAGAAAGGAUAUCUCAGAAGAGAAGUGGAUGGAUAUUUUUCAGAACCUUAAGGAGGAGGAUAUCGAGUGGAGUGCUUAUUGGAUGGUUCCUGAUGAGAUCAUGUACCAAUGUGGUAACUUUGAUUGGGUGCCAUUGUUAGGAAUUUGGGGAGCUACCGGGUAUACUCCGUUGAUAGCCUUGAGGCAAUACAAGUCGAGGCAGUUUGUACCCACGACCUAUGGACUUGCUCAGAGUGAAUUCUCGUUUAAAGGUGCUCACUAUUAAAAGAGAGUUCGGGAGUUAUCGGAUGCUUGGAAGCAAACUUGUUAGAUGAAGAGGUUAGCCGUCGGUUCUAUGGUAACGCCCGAGUACAGCAAGUGGUUUAAGAAGAGGAUUAAUGAUAAUAUUCCUAGGCCAAGCUUAGAGAAUGCUCGGCCUAUCGGGGAACAAUUACAAGUCGCCCCAUCAGAAUUGGAGAUUAUAAAACAAGAUUUCGAGAAGAAGAGUUUGGAGUUUGGUAAGAAGAUCGAACAAUUAGAGGAAGAGAAGAUGCACCUAAGAUUAGAGGCUGAUGUCCAAAGGUCAGAGGCUGAGAAGUGGAGAAAAGGAAAAACUAAGGCUGAAGAAGAUCUAGACAGUUUGAAAAUGGACUACAAAAAGUUACGCCUAUCUAUGAGGAUUGCGGGUUUAGGUAAGACUUCCGAACAAUGGCGCCAUGAAAUUCGGGAAGAAAAAACCAAUACCGACCGGUGGGAAAGGAAAUUUCGAGAAACUCAAGCACGAAACGAAGAUUUGGAGAAAAGUCUAUCAGAAAGCAGAAAUGAGCAAGGGGAAUUAAGGGCUAGAGUGGCAGAACUCGAGAAGUCCCUACAUCAGUACCGAAACCGCAACACCGUGACAGAAUUGAGGGCAAGCUUGAGCAAAAUACAAGAAAUGAAAGGAAGAAUAGAAGAGUUAGAGGCGUCACUGCAAAAUUGUGAUAUGCGAAUCCAGUUUUUUGAGGCAAACGAGGAUCGUUGGAAGGAGCAACUUCACCAUGCGCAAGGCCAAGUUAGAAAUAGGGAUUACCUUAUGGGAGAGGCCAUAACCCAGAUCCGGGAGGUAGCGGACUACUUGCAAACUCUAGCGGUUCAGGCAGACACACUAAGCGUGAAAUAUGAGUUAGAGUCGGAGCGCGAACAAGAGCUGGCCUCAUUGCUUAGAAAAAUUAGGACUUUGAGCGUUAGAGCAAAAUUAUAUUUGUAACUCGACUUUAUGUAAAAGAUUUUAUUUUCAAGUAAAAUUUUCUAAGGGCUGUUGAAUCAAAAUUGAUGCCUCCUUUACAUUCAUGCAUUUGCAUUACAUCAUAUCAUUAUGCAUUAAAGGCCAUUAGAGUUUUCUAAUUAAUUAACUAAAAAUUAUUUCAAUAACCUGGAAACCAAUGAAAACCAACCACGCACCCCUACAGUACAAGGAAAAAAUCAAUGGAUAAGAGACUCGAGAAAUUAGAGCGGAUGCAAAAAGACAUGCAAGAACAAAUACAGUCUCAGAUGCAAGAGCAGCUAGCCAAGAUUCAGUGAGAGAUGAAAGAGCAAAUGAUGGAGUCCCAGAGGGAAAUGAUGAGUCAGUUAUCCCAAUUGUUGUUGGGAGGAACGGAUAAGGGAAAGGGCCCCAUGGACAAAGUUGAAGAAGCUAAUGAGGAUCCUCAAUACCCCCUGGCUUCACUCUGACACAUGUACCGGUGAAGCUCGAGAUUAAUCUACCGAAGCCAUCUGUCACGAUCAUACCCCAGCAGGUUCAGGCUGGAGCUUCAAUACUGAUGAAUUUCCAAACCGGCUUAGGCUCCAACUUUGUCAACAACCCGAACUAUCCGCCCAUUCCCGAUUUGGAUGAAAUUGCUGAAGAAGAAAAGGCGAGGAUGGAUUCGCAAAAACAAUUGGAAAAACGGUGUAGAUGGCUCGAAGAGAAAUUUAAAGCCAUGGAAAGCGCGGAUCAUCAUCAAGGGAUUAAUGCCAAGGACCUAAGUUUAGUCCCAGAUUUAGUCCUUCCCCCCAAAUUCAAAAUGCCCAAGUUCGAGAAAUACAAUGGAACAAGUUGCCCUGAAGCUCAUAUCAUUAUGUUCUGCAGGCGAAUGACGGGAUAUGUUAACAAUGACCAGCUAUUAAUCCACUACUUUCAAGAUAGUUUGGUCGGGGCGGCGUCUAAGUAGUACAACCAAUUAAGCCGCUCUAAGAUUAACUUGUGGAAGGACCUGGCCCAAGCCUUUAUGAAGCAAUACAAUCACGUGACAGACAUGACCCCUGACAGAAUCACUCUCCAGAAUAUGGAGAAGAAAUCGAAUGAAAGCUUCAGGCAGUACGUAUAAAGAUGGAGGGAGGUGGCCAUACAAGUUCAGCCGCCACUUCUAGAAAAGGAGAUAACGAUACUCUUUAUAAAUACCUUGAAGGCCCCUUUUAUCACUCAUAUGUUGGGAAGCGCCACCAAGAGCUUCUCCGACAUAGUGAUGAUGGGAGAAAUGAUCGAAAAUGCUGUAAAGAGCGGCAAGAUAGAAUCGAGAGAGAGUGCUAGGAAGUUAGCCCCGAGGAGAAAAGACAAUGAAGUGAACAACACGAGCACAUUCAACAAGGGGCAGCCCAAGUCAAUUACCGUAAAUCAACCCAAAAUGGUGACUACCAAUCAACAAAGUUCUGUAAGGCAAGAAUCCAAUGCGAGGAAGAACAUAGAAAGGCCACAAUACACCCCUAUACCCAUGUCCUAUAGAGAGUUGUACCAGAACCUGUUCAACGCUCAUGUGGUAUCCCCUUUCUACCUGGAGCCACUGCAGUCCCCGUAUUCCAAAUAGUAUGACGCGAAUGCCCAAUGUGAGUACCACGCGGGAAUCACCGGGCACUCAAUCGAAAAUUGCACUGCGUUUAAGAAAGUGGUCGAAAGACUCAUUAAGGUGGGAAUCAUGAGAUUUGAUGACCCAGCCACGCCCAAUUUAGCAGGAAACCCACUCCCUAAUCAUACCGACCAAGGAGUGAAUGGGAUAAGUGAAGGCUUGAACAAGAAGACCAAGUAUGAGGUGGCAGAAAUCAGGACCUCGUUGAAGCGGGUAUGGAAAGAGAUGACUAAGAGAGGAUUGAUAGCAUUGGAUCCAAGGGAAGAACCCGAAGAAGAGAGAAACUACUGUGAGUUUCAUGACGAGGUGGGGCAUGAAAUCCAAGAAUGUGUGGAAUUCAUGGCCCUCGUGCAGAACAUGAUAGAUAACAAAGAAAUGGAAUUCUAUGAAGAAGCUAAAAGCCUCAUAGAGGGAAAUGUAUGCGCAUCCGAGGGAGAAUCAAAGGCGUAGAAUCAAAUGCCUAAUUAUCCCGUGGUGAUCAUUUCGAGACCCAAAAAUAAUGAAGCUGGAGUAAAAAUGCCAUCGAGGGUCAUAAUCCAAAGACCUGCAGUCUUCCCUUACAAAAACAGUAAAAAGGUCCCAUGAAAUUAUGAUUGCAGUGUGACGAUGCCGGGAAAAGAGAGCCCGGUUAGCGCUUCAAUAAGGGAUCAAGAUAGAGGUUCCUAUACACAUAGCGGGAGGCGUUACGAUACAAUGAAUGAGGAGGAACAGCCCACAAAAGAAAAAGCCCAGGUGGUCAAGGAAAUGAAGGAAAAAGCAACCAAACUUGUUAAUGAGCCAGUUAACGAAGACGAGGCCAAGGAAUUUUUAAAAUUCCUAAAGCACAGCGAAUACAGUGUGGUAGAACAGCUACGUAAACAACCAGCUCGCAUUUCAGUGCUGGCCUUGCUUCUAAGCUCGGAAGUUCAUCGUAGCGCACUAAUGAAGGUCUUAAACGAGACAUAUGUUGCCAAUGAUAUCUCCGUUAACAAGCUGGACCGGUUGGUGAGCAACAUAAGUGCCGACAAUUUUAUCUUCUUUAAUGACGACGAGAUACCACCUGGGGGCAUGGGGUCGACUAAAGCUCUGCAUAUCACCACACGCUGUAAAGGGUACACGCUACUAGGUGUACUGAUUGACAAUGGAUCAGCUUUGAACGUCCUGCCAUUGACCACGCUGAACAGAUUACCUAUAGACAGCUCUCACAUGAAGGAGUGCCAGAACAUCGUGAAGGCAUUCGAUGGCACGGAAAGAAAGGUGAUGGGCAGAAUCGAGGUACCUCUCUAGAUUAGGCCAAACACAUAUGAGGUGGAUUUUCUCGUGAUGGAUAUCAAGCCCUCAUACAAUUGCUUGUUGGGGAGGCUCUGGAUACAUUUAGCUGGGGCAGUACCUUCCCCGUUGCAUCAAAAAUUGAAGCUGGUGUCGGAGGGGAGGUUGAUAACGAUUAAGGCUGAAGAAGAUAUUAUUGCAACUGUGAGCAAUAAUGCACCCUAUUUGGAGACAUAUGACGAAGCAAUCGAAUGCUCAUUUCGAUCUUUGGAAUUUGUUAACGCGACGUUCAUCACCGAGGGAAGCAAAAUUUUGGUGCCGAAAUUGUCCAAAACCACGAGGAUGAGCCUCGAGUUGACGAUUGGAAAAGGGGCCCUACCCGGAAAGGGACUUGGGAGACAUCUACAAGGAAGGAUCGAAACGCCAAUGCUGAAAGAAAAGAGAGACCGCUUCGGCUUAGGAUUUAAGCCGGAUGUGAAACAAAGGAGAAGGGAGCCAGAAAAGAAGCAAGAAAGAAGGAGAGCUCGAUUAAUGGGGGAGCAAAUCAAGUGGGAACCAAUGACAUUCCCCCAUAUAUUGAAAACAUUUGUAUCCAGGGGAAUCAUUCAUCCUGAGAGAGACACGCCAAUGAUGGGAGCUAUAAAAGAAAGUCUGGAAAGUUUGGACAUCAACGUCAUGUACGAAAAGGAGACUGGAAGGGAAAAUUUGUCGGGCAUUUGCCCCUACACGCCUGGAAGUGUUCUGGACAACUAGAUUGCGGAAGAGAUCCUUGUAGUUUUUAGAACGGAUUCAGAGUAAUGUCCAAAACACACUUAUUGCUCUAGGCCUAGGAGUGAUAAGAAUCUUUUGUGAAAUAGGCUGAUGUUUAAAAACGAUAUUUCAAUAAAAUGCACAGUUAUUAUCAUUUUUGAGCAAAUGUUCUCUCGUCCUCUUAAUUUCAUUCAUAACCAUACAAAUGAUUACUUUCGGAUUCUUUUAUUCUUGAAACAUUCUUCUAAGUAUUCUUUCAUUCGUCAUUCAUAAUCAUAUCACGCAAAUAAAUGUUUCGAAUUCUUUUGAUUCUUUGUAUCUGCCUUCGUCCUUAUAACAGGUUCCCAAAUAUUAAUGAUACGAGUGACACUGCUAGCGACUCAGAAUUUCCUUUCGAGCAAGAUGUAUGUAUGGAUGAUUCUUAGGAUUUUGAAGAUGACCAAGGCUGUAACCUAUCUCUUGAUUUGUUGAAGAUGGAGGAACAAGACGAGAAAUAAAUCCUACCUCACAAAGAAUUAAUCGAAAUUGUGAGCUUAGGAGAAGGACAAGAGGUAAAGAUCGGAAUAAGUAUCACUGCGAAAAUGAAGCGAGACCUCAUUGAAUUACUUUAAGAAUUCAAAGGUGUCUUCGCAUGGUCAUACCAAGAUAUGCCCGGGUUGGACACUGACAUCGUGGUGCAUCGACUUCCCAUAAAAGAAUAGUGUAAGCCAGUUUAGCAAAAACUCCGAAGAAUGAGGCCCGAUGUCUUGCUAAAAAUAAAGGAAGAGGUUCGAAAGCAGUUUGACGUUGGAUUUCUGAAGGUGGUAAAAUACUCAGAUUGGGUAGCCAACAUCAUCCCUGUCCCUAAGAAAGAUGGAAAAGUGCUAAUGUGUGUAGACUACAGAGAUUUGAAUAAAGCCAGCCCAAAAGACAAUUUCCCACUGCCUCAUAUCGACACCCUAGUGGACAACAUGGCGGGACAUUCACUGUUUUCAUUCAUGGAUGAUUUUUUGGGAUACAACCAGAUCAAGAUGCAUCCUGAAGAUAUGAAGAAGACCAUAUUUGUAACCAUGUAGGGCACGUUCUGUUACAAGGUGAUGCCGUUUGGAUUGAAGAAUGCGGGGACAACUUAUCAAAGAGCUAUGGUAACCUUUUUUCACGACAUGAUGCAUAAAGAAAUCGAGGUUUAUGUCGAUGACAUGAUCGUAAAGUCUCGAACAGAGAAGGAGCACAUACAAGUCUUGAGGAAAUUGUUCUUGAGGUUGAGGAAGUUCCAGCUAAAACUCAACCCAGCCAAAUGUACCUUCGGAGCUAAAUCCGGAAAGUUGCUCGGAUUCGUGGUUAGUGAGAAAGGGAUUGAGAUCGAUCUAGACAAAGUUAAAGCCAUACAAGAGUUAUCCUCGCCGCGCACUAAAAAAGAAGUUCGAGGCUUUCUAGGAAGAUUAAAUUACAUUGCUCGGUUCAUUUCACAACUGACCGAGAAAUGUGGCCCUGUCUUUCGCCUCCUCAAGAAACAUAACCCAGGUGAAUGGGAUGAAGAAUGCCAAAGGGCUUUCGACAAGGUUAAACAGUACUUAUCCAACGCCCCGGUGCUGAUGCCACCUAACCCCGAUAAGCCGUUGAUACUGUAUUUGGCAGUAUUCGAGAACUCUAUGAGAUGCAUGCUGGCUCAGCAUGAUGAGUCAGGAAGGAAAGAAAAAGCUAUUUACUAUCUCAGUAAAAAGUUUACGGAAUGUGAGACAAUGUACCCGUCGAUAGAGAAGUUGUGUUGUGCCCUAAUAUGGACAACCCGCAGGCUGAGGCAAUAUAUGUUGUAUCACACCACUUGGCUCAUAUCAAAGUUGGACCCUUUAAAGUACAUGAUGGAGUCAACAACCUUAAAUGGAAGGAUGGCCCGAUGACAGAUUCUGCUUUCUAAAUUCAACAUAGUCUAUGUGAACCAAAAAGUAAUAAAAGGAAGUGCGAUAGCAGAUUUUCUAGCCAGUAGAGCUUUGGAAGACUACGAGCCUUUGAACUUCGACUUUCCGAAUGAAGACCUAAUGUGUAUUGCUACGACUGAAGAAGGUGCUCUGGAAGAACUUCUUUGGAAACUGAACUUCGAUGGGGCAUCAAAUGCUGUGGGCAAUGGAAUCGGGGCCGUCUUGGUAUCCCCAAAACGAGAUCAUUACCCAUUCACUAGUAAAUUGGAUUUUGAUUGUACAAAAAAUAUGGUGGAAUAUGAAGCGUGCAUCAUGGGUAUCCGUGCAGCCAUAGAACGUAAGAUUAAAGUGCGAGAGGUGUAUGGAGAUUCUGCGCUAGUGAUUUAUCAACUCAAGGGAGAAUGGGAGACUAGAGACCUCAAGUUAAUCGAUUAUCGGAAGCUGGUCCUUGAGUUGAUUAAAGAGUUUGAUGACAUUACCUUCCACUACCUUCCACGAGACAAAAAUCAGAUGGCUGACGCUUUGGCUACCUUAGCCUCCAUGAUCAAGGUGAACAAACAAGAAGAUGUCAAACCCAUCCGAAUGAACAUUUAUGAAAUUCCGGCCCAUUCUUACAAUAUUGAAAAAGAUGAAGAGAAAGAUGAUCACCCUUGGUAUCACGAUAUAUUGCAAUAUGUGAAGAAUCGUGAGUACCCGGACCAGGCAAGCGAGAAUGAAAAAAGAACGCUAAGAAGAUUGGCCAUCGACUACGUCUUAGAUGGGGAUAUAUUAUACAAAAGAAGAAAGGAUCAAGUGCUACUAAGAUGUGUAGACGCUGUAGAGGCUAGGAAAAUCUUGGAAGAAGUCCAUGAAGGCGUCUGUGGGACACAUGCUAAUGGCUUUACAAUGGCCAGGCAAAUUAUGAGAUUCGGGUACUAUUGGUCCACCAUGGAAGGAGACUGUGUCAAUUACGCUAAGAGAUGUCAUAAGUGUCAAAUCUACGGAGACAAAAUUCUUGUGCCUCCUUCACCGUUGCAUGUCAUGGUUUCUUCAUGGCCAUUCUCUAUGUGGGGCAUGGAUGUGAUUAGACCAAUAUCGCCGAAAGCUACCAAUGGGCAUCGAUUCAUCUUCGUGGUUAUCGACUACUUCACCAAGUGGGUAGAAACUGCUUCGUAUGCUAGUGUGACCAAGUCGGCAGUGAGCAAGUUUCUGAAAAAGGAUAUUAUAUGUCGAUAUGGAAUGCCGGAGAGGAUUAUAUCCGACAAUGCAUUAAACUUGAACAAUAGUACGAUAGCAGAAGUCUGCAGUCAAUUCAAGAACAGACAUCACAACUCGUCACCAUAUCGCCCAAAGAUGAAUGGGGCAGUGGAAGCGGCCAAUACAAACAUUAAGAAAAUUGUGGGGAAGAUGACCAAAACCUACAGAGACUGGCAUGAGAAGUUACCAUUUGCCCUCUUCGCUUAUCGAACGUCAGUCAAAACCUCAACUGGGGCAGCCCCUUUUUCUUUGGUCUACGGAAUGGAAGCGGUGUUGCCGAUCGAGGUCGAGAUCCCGUCCCUUCGAGUGUUGUUGGAGUUAAAUUUGGAAGAAGCCGAGUGGAUCCAAUCUCGAUAUGAUCAAUUGAACCUAACGAGGAAAAAAGGUUAAAAGCUAUUCGUCAUGGUCAGAUGUACCAAAAAUGAAUGAUGCAGGCUUAUGAUAAAAAGGUUCGUCCUAGAGAAUUCCACGAGGGAGACCUGGUUUUGAAAAAGAUUCUUCCCAUACAGAAAUAUUUUCGGGGAAAAUGGAUGCCUAAUUGGGAAGGGCCUUACGUAGUGAAGAAAGCUUUCACUGGAGUAGCAUUGAUUCUAGCCGAGAUGGACGAUAGAAACUUGCCCAAUCCUGUAAACUCGGACUCGGUCAAGAAGUAUUUUACCUGAAGAAAGAGAGGCCUGAGUGAAAACCCACAAAGGGUGCUCUGAAAUCCAAAAAAAAACCCGGAGAGGCCAAGGUGAAAACCCACAAAGGGUAUUUUGGAACCAAAGGGGCUUUUGAGUUGAAAACCCAAAAACGGGCAGCUCAAAUUUUGAAUAUGGGGCAUAUGGCGGUCUUGUCCUUCCAAAAUCAACAAGACAGAAGAACAUUACACCUUGGAGCAUCAACAAAAUACGCGGGAUCUCCUGAACACACAUUUGGUUCGAAUGAACCUUUGAGAAAUUAGAAUAGUGAAACUCGUGCUGCGAUAUCUGGGGCAUCUUUUUCUCAUUUUUCGCACCUUACCAGAUUCAUUAUCCUAUGUAUUCACAUCAAAAUUUGCUUAAUAAAAUGACAUUUGUCCAUUAUGAUAAUCUCUUUCGAGCAGUUUUGUCGAAAUCGCGAUUUUUGAACAUGUAAUAUCUACAUAAAAGAUGUUAUGCAUAUUACUCUGGAAAAGUCUCUAAAUAGUACAAGGACCUGAAACAGGGCCACUAGUCAGAACUAACCAGGUUCAAAGUUGGAAAAUAUUGGAAAAAGAGAAAUCCAAAUUAGGACUAUUUCUUCAAAUUUUCUGGCAGAGAUAACGGCUAAGUAAGAAAACGUGAUAGCACAUCAAUGAUGGAACCCGGACGAAUCAUGAGCAAUGAUACCUUAAACGUUUGAAGAGGAAUUAUUCUCAUAGCACUUCUACAUUCAUAAUCAUUCAUUUAGUUAGGAGCACUUGAUUCAUUUCGAUCAUAGCAUUCUAAUUAUCUGACAUAAACACCACAUCUAGUUAGGGACAUUUGAUUCAUCUCGAUCAUAGUAUCCUAAUUACUUGAUACAGGAAACCAAUUCUACAAAUCAUGUCUUUGGAAGACAGUGUAGUGACAUUGGCGAAUCCUACAGAUCCUGCUUCCCUGAAGUUGCAGUGGAGCAGAUCGAAGACGACAAAUCUUGACUUCCUGAAGUUGCAGUGAAGUAGAUUUAAGUCACUAACCUAGCUCCCUAAAGUUGUAGUGGAGUAGGUUGAGAUUUUAGAUCCUACUUCCCUGAAGUUACAGUGGAGCAGAUCAAAAACGACGAAUCCUGACUUCCUGAAGUUGCAGUGAAGCAGAUUUAAGUCACUAACCUUGUUCCCUAAAGUUGUAGUGGAGUAGGUUAAAAUUUUAGAUCUCGUUUCCCUGAAGUUGCAGUGGAGUAAAUCAAAGACAACGAAUCUUGACUUCCUGAAGUUGCAGCAAAGCAGAUUUAAGUCACUAACCUAGCUCCCUAAAGUUGUAGUGGAGUAGGUUGAAAUUUUCGAUCUCGUUUCCCUGAAGUUGCAGUGGAGCAGAUCGAAGACGGCGAAUCUGAGCUUCUUGAAGUUGCAGUGAAGCAGAUUUAAGCCACUAACCUAGCUCCCUAGAGUUGUAGUAGAGUAGGUUGAAAUUUUAGAUCUCGUUUCCCUGAAGUUGCAGUGGAGCAGAUCGAAGACGGCGAAUCUGAGCUUCCUGAAGUUGCAGUGAAGUAGAUUUAAGCCACCAACCCAGCUCCCUAAAGUUGUAGUGGAGUAGGUUGAAAUUUUAGAUUUUGUUUCCCUGAAGUUGCAGUGAAACAGAUCGAAGACGGUGAAUCUUGACUUCUUGAAAUUGCAAUGAAGUAGAUUUAAGCCACCAUCCUAGCUCCCUAAAGUUGUAGCGGAGUAGGUUGAAGAUUGUAGAUCUUGUCUCCCUGAAGUUGCAGUGGAGCAUAUUGAAGCUACUUGAAGAAAAAAAGUACCAAGAAGUCGAGGCUCAGCAGGUCCUGGCAAAUUUGGCCCAUUUAUAGUCUUUACUUUAUUCUCGUUACACGACAAUAUGCAAAGAAGGGCAGCUGUAGUGGGCCAAAUUUGCCCGGUCCGAAUAAAAAUAAUAAAUGAUAUAAAAAUCUAGAUAUCAAUAGUCCAUUAUCUGUCCAAUUACAACCCAAAAUCAAACCAAAUUAACCCUAAUGUUUCAAGACACAAAUUACAAGUCCAUUUACAAAAUGACAUAGCCCAAUACCCCAAACGGCCCAGAAACUGAGCCCCAUUUUGGCAAACCCUAGGGCAAGGGUCUCCUUGUGCCGCAGCCCUCACUAGUGGCCAAACCACAUUGCGCCAGACAACGCCUCCAACAGCACCAGUGCACAGCCCUCGUACGCCACGCCCGUACCUCCGUACGAUGCAGGCAGACUCCGUACCUGCGAAAAAGGCACAUAGAACAGCAGCGAAUGGGGAAGAAGAAAAUAGCAUUUUCAUUUUUUGAUUUUUCUUUCUUUUCGACUAUAAAGGCCAUGUAAUAGCCUAGGUGAGUUUUUUACGCAACAUAAACGCACAAUAGGCCAUACAGACACAAUCAAUACAUUUUGAAAUACAAAAAAGCAACGAGCAUUCGAAGGUGAUUCCGAUUCAUAAUUUCUGAGAUUUUUUCCUUUUCUUCUUGGCUUAGUUUCAUUCUCCCUGGAAUUUCUUUUUAUUCUUUCGCAUUUUGGGUUGUAUAAAAGAGAGAG